GCGCCCCUGCGCUGAGCGAGCGGCGCAACAGUUGCCUGAGCCAACAUUUGUCGAGCGGGAGCCGAUCUUCCCCGCCCAUGUGCAGGCCCGCCGCGAGCGGGAAGCCUACGGACGGGGAGAGGCGCCCACCUGCUGAGGGCAGGGUUCGACAACUGCGCGCCAAUCCGCCAGCGCGGGGGUGCU
rnacentral:other from 1 species